UGGCAAUGAUGAUAAAAGGCCGGUCUUACGGCUGCCAUUUACUUAUUGGUAGUAGAUUGAUUACUUUAAGGUUUAGGGUUUUCUGAGCCAG
rfam:Medicago truncatula strain A17 chromosome 8, whole genome shotgun sequence.